GACGAACCGUACGAACGUUAUUCGGAAUCACUGGGCUUAAAGGGUGCGUAGGCGGCGCGACAAGUUGGGUGUGAAAUCCCUCGGCUCAACCGAGGAACUGCGCCCAAAACUGUCGUGCUCGAGGGAGACAGAGGUGAGCGGAACUUAGGGUAGAGCGGUGAAAUGCGUUGAUAUCCUAAGGAACACCGGUGGCGAAAGCGGCUCACUGGGUCUCUUCUGACGCUGAGGCACGAAAGCUAGGGUAGCGAACGGG
rnacentral:rRNA from 1 species